AGGACGAACGCUGGCGGCGUGCUUAACACAUGCAAGUCGAGCGAGGCGCCUUCUUCGGAAGGUGUCCUAGCGGCGAACGGGUGAGUAACACGUGGGCAACCUGCCCUCAGCACUGGGAUAACUCCGGGAAACCGGGGCUAAUACCGGAUAUGACUCUGGUUGACAUCAACCGGGUGGAAAGAAUUUUGGCUGAGGAUGGGCCCGCGGCCUAUCAUGCUUGAUGGUGAGGUAACGGCCCACCAUGGCGACGACGGGUA
rnacentral:rRNA from 1 species